rnacentral:rRNA from 1 species
AUNAGACCGCAUGGUCUUGUUAUUAAAGAAUUUCGGUUAUCGAUGGGGAUGCGUUCCAUUAGGCAGUUGGUGAGGUAACGGCUCACCAAACCUUCGAUGGAUAGGGGUUCUGAGAGGAAGGUCCCCCACAUUGGAACUGAGACACGGUCCAAACUCCUACGGGAGGCAGCAGUGAGGAAUAUUGGUCAAUGGGCGCAGGCCUGAACCAGCCAAGUAGCGUGAAGGAUGACUGCCCUAUGGGUUGUAAACUUCUUUUAUAUGGGAAUAAAGUUUUCCACGUGUGGAAUUUUGUAUGUACCAUAUGAAUAAGGAUCGGCUAACUCCGUGCCAGCAGCCGCGGUAAUACGGAGGAUCCGAGCGUUAUCCGGAUUUAUUGGGUUUAAAGGGAGCGUAGGUGGACAGUUAAGUCAGUUGUGAAAGUUUGCGGCUCAACCGUAAAAUUGCAGUUGAUACUGGCUGUCUUGAGUACAGUAGAGGUGGGCGGAAUUCGUGGUGUAGCGGUGAAAUGCUUAGAUAUCACGAAGAACUCCGAUUGCGAAGGCAGCUCACUGGACUGCAACUGACACUGAUGCUCGAAAGUGUGGGUAUCAAACAGGAUUAGAUACCCUGGUAGUCCACACAGUAAACGAUGAAUACUCGCUGUUUGCGAUAUACAGUAAGCGGCCAAGCGAAAGCAUUAAGUAUUCCACCUGGGGAGUACGCCGGCAACGGUGAAACUCAAAGGAAUUGACGGGGGCCCGCACAAGCGGAGGAACAUGUGGUUUAAUUCGAUGAUACGCGAGGAACCUUACCCGGGCUUAAAUUGCAUUUGAAUAUAUUGGAAACAGUAUAGCCGUAAGANAAAUGUGAAGGUGCUGCAUGGUUGUCGUCAGCUCGUGCCGUGAGGUGUCGGCUUAAGUGCCAUAACGAGCGCAACCCUUAUCUUUAGUUACUAACAGGUCAUGCUGAGGACUCUAGAGAGACUGCCGUCGUAAGAUGUGAGGAAGGUGGGGAUGACGUCAAAUCAGCACGGCCCUUACGUCCGGGGCUACACACGUGUUACAAUGGGGGGUACAGAAGGCAGCUACCUGGUGACAGGAUGCUAAUCCCAAAAGCCUCUCUCAGUUCGGAUCGAAGUCUGCAACCCGACUUCGUGAAGCU